AUAUAUAUGUAUGUAUGUGUGUGGUAUUCAUAGAAAUAAGAGAACAAUAUAGCACGGGAGAGCACCGUUUUACUCAUCUUUUGACAAGUGCAGCCACUUUGUGAUUUUAGUGAUGUUAGUUUCGAAAUGUGGUGCAGUGUGAUUUUCAUAAACAUUGAAAUGACCAACGACAACAACAGUCAUUGGUGGUUGUUAGUACCAUAUUGUGUCCUAUAUGCUCCACAAGCAGAAACGCAUCCUCAGGUGCCGUAGCGGACAUGCUCUUGCUAUCGGCUCUCCAGCUACCGGGCGACCUUCGGCCAACCAUCCCCCCUCCUUUUGGUCGGGCACGCAGUUCGGCCAACGCGAAUGCUGGGAUGAGAACAGACCCGGCUUCCCAGCCUUUACGUGGGCCACCGCCAGGCGAUUAGAGCAGCUGCUACUAAAACUAGCAGCUACCUCCUCGCCUCCUGAGACAUGCGCAGAAAGACUACUCCCAAAGACCAGCUGAUCUACGUUGGCUUGACGUGCCUGGGAAGGAUGUUGUGGGAAAAUCCUGUCAGAAUAAAAAAAGAUUGCCUCGUCAGACUUUUUGGUGGUUGUCCAGGGGGUGAAGCAGGCGAUCCAGUUCCUGCACAAGGAUUCUGCAGAACUGCUCCCUUUAGACAGACUCAAAAACCUUGGCACGUCCAAACAAGGGAAAACGAAAUACCAUCAACUUGGCAUCAACACACAGAGGCCAAAAGCAAUACAAUUCCUGCCUCAAGUAGCACCGGAAGAUAGGGCUGCACAAUUGUGGCCAAAAUGAUAAUCACAAUUUUUUAGCAAUAUUGUAAUCACAAUCAUUAAAUCACAAUUAUUUAUUUUGUUCGAGAAAACCCAUUUUUGUUGAACUACUUUUCAAACAAUGAGAAUGAUUUUCAACCCAACAUGAUACUUUGAAACAAAAUGAUUAUAACUUUUGAAUGAUGGUGACUAUAUGAUACUGGCAGAGAAAAUGCUUGAUAAGAUAUGCAGCAGAGCCUGCGUUAGAAUUGUAAAUAUCACCGACGAUCCAGUUAAUUUAAUCCUGGCAUGAUCACGAUUAAAAUUCAAUUAAUUGUGCA